UAGCAACUGUAGACUGAAUCUUUUCAAACUGAGAGAAAAAAAAAACCAACAAAAAAAAGACGUCUCCAAGUUCCAGACCAUCAAAAGAUGAAGGUUCUUGAAAGCGUGGAACCUAGGGCCAGAUAUUUAGCUUAAUGGCACUGCACUUGCCUUGAAAGCGCAAGGUCCUGAAUUUUAUACCUGGGG
rnacentral:lncRNA from 1 species